UGCUUGCACUUCCGAGAGUGGCGAACGGGUGAGUAACACGUAGAUGAUCACCUUUUAGUUGGGGAUAGCCCAUGGAAACAUGGAGUAAUACCGAAUAAUCUCUAAUUGCUUUUGCGAUUUGAGGAAAGAAGCGUUUGCUUCGCUGAAAGAUGAGUCUGCGCACUAUUAGCUUGUUGGUGGGGUAAGAGCCUACCAAGGCGACGAUAGUUAGCCGACCUGAGAGGGUGAUCGGCCACAUUGGGACUGAGACACGGCCCAGACUCC
rnacentral:rRNA from 1 species